rnacentral:rRNA from 1 species
GAUGAACGCUGGCGGCGCGCCUAACACAUGCAAGUCGAACGGUUAAAGCACCUUUUAGGUGUGUAUAAAGUGGCGAACGGCUGAGUAACACGUGGGCAACCUGCCCUCCUCUUGGGGAUAGCCUCGGGAAACCGAGGAUAAUACCCGAUACUUCAAUGUGGCCGCAUGACGACAUUGAGAAAGCUUUUGCGGAGAAGGAUGGGCCCGCGGCCUGUUAGCUUGUUGGUGGGGUAGAGGCCUACCAAGGCAAUGAUGGGUAGCUGGGUUGAGAGACCGACCAGCCAGAUUGGGACUGAGACACGGCCCAGACUCCUACGGGAGGCAGCAGUGGGGAAGCUUGCACAAUGGGCGAAAGCCUGAUGCAGCGACGCCGCGGGCGGGACGAAGGCCUUCGGGUUGUAAACCGCUUUCAGCAGGGACGAGGCGAUAAGUGACGGUACCUGCAGAAGAAGCCCCGGCUAACUACGUG